CUCCCUUUUCUUGCUGUUGAUGUCCCUUCGGUUGAUUUGGAAGGAGCACAACAACAGAAUUUUCAAGGCCAAGAGCAGCCCAGCUGCUGGAGUUGUGAUGGUGAUCGGGAGCGAGGCGGCUUUUUGGCGUGACAGCAAGGGCCUUGGUGCCUUGCUUUCUGGAUGGGACAAUGUUCCGUGAUUUGCAUCUUUUCCUCUUUUCAUGUUUUUAUUUUUGUUGUUUUCCCCUCUGUUUCAUGAUAUUUUUUUGCGAGAAGACCAAUGCCAUAUAUUAAAUCAACCGAUCCUUACAAGAACCAUCUUGAAAAUAAAAUAAAAUAAAAUUACAUGCAAGUUCUUGUGGGGAAACGUCGUUGUCUUCCUUCUACACUCGCCGGUGGCGUGCCGUGAACCUCGAUAAUGCCUCUGGACCUCUGAACCACAUCGGAGCCAGGAAAACAUUGUUGACGUA
rnacentral:lncRNA from 1 species